AUAGCGUAUAUUAAAGUUGUUGCAGUUAAAAAGCUCGUAGUUGAACCUUGGGCCUGGCUGGCCGGUCCGCCUCACCGCGUGUACUGGUCCGGCCGGGCCUUUCCUUCUGGGGAGCCGCAUGCCCUUCACUGGGCGUGUCGGGGAACCAGGACUUUUACUUUGAAAAAAUUAGAGUGUUCAAAGCAGGCCUUUGCUCGAAUACAUUAGCAUGGAAUAAUAGAAUAGGACGUGCGGUUCUAUUUUGUUGGUUUCUAGGACCACCGUAAUGAUUAAUAGGGAUAGUCGGGGGCAUCAGUAUUCAAUUGUCAGAGGUGAAAUUCUUGGAUUUAUUGAAGACUAACUACUG
rnacentral:rRNA from 1 species